rnacentral:rRNA from 1 species
CAGCCGCCGCGGGAAUACAGAGGGUGCGAGCGUUAAUCGGAUUUACUGGGCGUAAAGCGUGCGUAGGCGGCUUUUUAAGUCGGAUGUAAAAUCCCUGAGCUUAACUUAGGAAUUGCAUUCGAUACUGGGAAGCUAGAGUAUGGGAGAGGAUGGUAGAAUUCCAGGUGUAGCGGUGAAAUGCGUAGAGAUCUGGAGGAAUACCGAUGGCGAAGGCAGCCAUCUGGCCUAAUACUGACGCUGAGGUACGAAAGCAUGGGGAGCAAACAGGAUUAGAUACCCCUGUAGUCCCUGUCUCUUAUAC